rnacentral:rRNA from 1 species
AGUGAACGCUGGCGGUAGGCCUAACACAUGCAAGUCGAACGGCAGCACAGUAAGAGCUUGCUCUUACGGGUGGCGAGUGGCGGACGGGUGAGGAAUACAUCGGAAUCUACUUUUUCGUGGGGGAUAACGUAGGGAAACUUACGCUAAUACCGCAUACGACCUACGGGUGAAAGCAGGGGAUCUUCGGACCUUGCGCGAUUGAAUGAGCCGAUGUCGGAUUAGCUAGUUGGCGGGGUAAAGGCCCACCAAGGCGACGAUCCGUAGCUGGUCUGAGAGGAUGAUCGGCACCCCUGGACCGGAGAACGGUUCCAGCCUCCUCGGGGAGGCAGAGGUGGGGAAUAUUGGAAAUGGGCGCAAGCCUGAUCCAGCCAUACCGCGUGGGUGAAGAAGGCCUUCGGGUUGUAAAGCCCUUUUGUUGGGAAAGAAAAGCAGCAGGUUAAUACCCCGCUGUUCUGACGGUACCCAAAGAAUAAGCACCGGCUAACUUCGUG